GACGAACGCUGGCGGCGUGCUUAACACAUGCAAGUCGAACGGAAAGGCCCUGCUUUUGUGGGGUGCUCGAGUGGCGAACGGGUGAGUAACACGUGAGUAACCUGCCCUUGACUUUGGGAUAACUUCAGGAAACUGGGGCUAAUACCGGAUAGGAGCUCCUGCUGCAUGGUGGGGGUUGGAAAGUUUCGGCGGUUGGGGAUGGACUCGCGGCUUAUCAGCUUGUUGGUGGGGUAGUGGCUUACCAAGGCUUUGACGGGUAGCCGGCCUGAGAGGGUGACCGGCCACAAUGGGACUGAGAUACGGCCCAGACUCCUACGGGAGGCAGCAGGGGGGAAUAUUGCACAAUGGGCGGAAGCCAGAUGCAGCAACGCCGCGUGCGGGAUGACGGCCUUCGGGUUGUAAACCGCUUUCGCCUGUGACGAAGCGUGAGUGACGGUAAUGGGUAAAGAAGCACCGGCUAACUACGUG
rnacentral:rRNA from 1 species